rnacentral:rRNA from 1 species
UACGGGGGGAGCAAGCGUUGUUCGGAAUCACUGGGCGUAAAGGGCGCGUAGGCGGCCGAUUAAGUCGGGGGUGAAAGCCUGUGGCUCAACCACAGAAUUGCCUUCGAUACUGAUUGGCUUGAGACCGGAAGAGGUCAGUGGAACUGCGAGUGUAGAGGUGAAAUUCGUAGAUAUUCGCAAGAACACCAGUGGCGAAGGCGGCUGACUGGUCCGGUUCUGGCGCUGAGGCGCGAAAGCGUGGGGAGCAAACAGG